rnacentral:rRNA from 1 species
UACGUAGGGUGCAAGCGUUGUCCGGAAUUAUUGGGCGUAAAGAGCUCGUAGGCGGUUUGUUGCGUCGGCUGUGAAAUCCCGAGGCUCAACCUCGGGUCUGCAGUCGAUACGAGCAAACUAGAGUGUUGCAGGGGAGACUGGAAUUCCUGGUGUAGCGGUGAAAUGCGCAGAUAUCAGGAGGAACACCGGUGGCGAAGGCGGGUCUCUGGGCCAAAACUGACGCUGAGGAGCGAAAGCGUGGGGAGCGAACAGG